GGGGAUGUGGCUCAGUGGUAGAGCACUUGCCUGGCAUGUGUGAGGCCAUGACUUCCAUUCCCU
rnacentral:tRNA from 1 species